rnacentral:rRNA from 1 species
UACAGAGGUCUCGAGCGUUAGGCGGAAUCACUGGGCUUAAAGCGUGUGUAGGCGGAUCCGUAAGUACUUUGUGAAAUCCCACGGCUUAACCGUGGAACUGCUUGGUAUACUGCGGGUCUUGAGCCACCUAGGGGCGAGCGGAACAGAUGGUGGAGCGGUGAAAUGCGUAGAUAUCAGGAGGAACACCAAUGGCGAAGGCAGCACUCUGGGACGUGACUGACGCUGAGACGCGAAAGCGUGGGGAGCAAACAGG